UAAUCUUGUUCCCAGAAUGAGCUGUCCCCAACUGCCAAACUACAAAAUGUAACUUCUCUCCCUGCCCUCUCCAAGGAAAGUAUAUAAGCUCUGCUUAAGCUGUUCUCAGGGCUCUAUCUCUCUUUGUUAUAGAGAGCUCUGGGCCCUAGCAUGCUGGUCUCCAAAUAAACCCUCCCUUCUGCUGUUGCAUAAGACAGUCUCUUGUGGUCUCUUCCUCCGAUGUUUCGCCGGACCCUUACAUUUGGUGCAUUGGCCGGGAAAUGUGUAUCGCCGGACAGGGAGACCUCAACAAGACUCCUUUAGGGGGUAAAGCGCCGGACCUGGCAGACUCUCUGUGCCUCAGAAUGGCCCGCCUUUGAAAUUGGAUGGCCUCCAGAAGGAUCUUUCUACUCCCCGCUAAUGCGAAAAUCAGAGAUACUGUUUUUCAGCCGGGGCCACAUAGUCAUCCAGAUCAACAGCCGUAUAUCUUAACUUGGCAGGACCUCUGUGAAUCUCCUCCUCCAUGGGUGAAGACUUUUCUUGUCCCUGCUCCUGCUCCUACUUCUCCCCCCACGAUUCUAUCUCUCAAACCCUCUGCUCCUCCUCCACCCUUUGUUCUCCCUGAGUCUCAAGAUUUGAGUCUGCAGGACUCUCCUCCCUUUCCUUAUCUUCUGCCUUUGUUCCCCAACCCCCAACACCCUCUAAGUGAUUCCCCUGCUGCUGACUCAUCCUCUCCACCAUUAGAGAAAGCUGAGCCGGCCCAGUGCCCUCCAGAUGACUCCCCCACGGCACACACAGCCCAUCCUCCCCUGGAGGAAGCUGGCCCGGCUAAAGGAACUCGCCGGCAGUGAAUGAUUAAAAACCCUGAAGCCCCCGUGAUACUUCCCCUCCGUCCUUAUGGGCCAAUGAUAGAGGAUGGCCAUGGUGGAGAAAUGCAAGCCUACCAGUAUUGGCCUUUCUCCUCUUCAGAUCUAUAUAACUGGAAAAAUAACAAUCCCCCUUUUUCUGAGGACCCUACCUGGCUCACAAGUCUGAUCGAGUCAUUGAUGUUUUCACACCAGCCUACUUGGGAUGACUGCCAACAACUCUUAGGCAUGACAGAGGAACGAGAGAGAAUCCUCCUGGAAGCAAGAAAAAAUAUCCUCAGACCAGAUGGGCGACCAACACAACUUCCCCUUGAACCGACCCAACUAGGACCCCAACACCUAUAAAGGUAGGGAGCAUCUGUCCACUUAUCGCCGGGCUCUAAUAGUGGGUCUCCAAGCAGCCGCUAGACGGCCAACUAAUUUGGCCAAGGUAAGAGACAUUAUUCAAGGACAUAAUAAAUCUCCCUCUAUGUUUCUAGAGAGAAUUAUACUCCUUUUAUACUCCUUUUGAUCCUCAGGCAGAGGAUCAAAAGGCAUCUGUUACAAUGGCCUUUAUUGGGCAAGCUCCCCUGGAUAUUAAAAGAAAAUUAUAACGCUUAGAUGGAUUACAAGACAUGACUUUGAGAGAUUUGGUCAGAGAAGCUGAGAAGGUAUACUAUAAGAGAGAAACUGAGGAAGAGAAGGAACAAAGGAGGGAGAAAGAAAGGGAAUAAAGGGAGGAUGAAAGAAACAAAAGACAGACUAAGGCAUUGACUAAAUCCUGGUCACAACAACAAAUAGGCCAGAAGUUAAGAGACAGGGAGACAGAAAGGGAUACCUGGGCCCAUGCCAAAAGCCACCUCUGGCCUCAGAUCAAUGUGCCUACUGUAGAAAAAAAGGACAAUGGGCCAAAGAGUUCCCUAGAAAGAAACAUCCAUGCCAGCCAGCCAUUCUAACUCUGGAGGAUGACUAAGAAAGUCGGGGCUCGGAUCCCCUCCCCGAGCUCAGGGUAACUUUUGAAGUGGAGGGGACCCUAGUAAACUUUAAAGUGGAUACAGAGGCAGUAUACUCAGCCCUUAAGGCCCCAUUGGGCCCACUAUCAACUAAAAGUCUCUAGUUCAAGGGGCUAAUGGCAGUAAAUAUCGGGCUUGGACAACUAGGAGGACCAUGGACCUGGGGAAAGGAAAAAUCCAUCACUACUUCCUAGGGAUCUCAGAAUGCCCAGUCCCAUUGAUGGGCAGAGAUAUGCUCACCAAACUCUGGGCCAAAAUAACUUUUAACCCUGAAGGCCCCCAAAUAAAAUUUCUAAAUCCUUCAGUAAAAACUCCUACAGUCAUGGCUUUAACUAUGUCAGUAGAAGAUGAACUCAACUCUUCACACCUCCCAAGACUGAUCAAACAGGCAAGCUAUCCCAGAAAUGGAUAACAGAUUACCCAGAUGCCUGGGCAGAAACUGCUGGGUUAGGCCUAGCCAUAAAACAACCUCCAAUAAUGGUGGAGUUAAAAACCUCAGCCUCCGCAAUUAAUAUUAAACAAUAUCCUCUGAGCUAAUAAGCUAAAGAUGGGAUAAGGCCCCAUAUUCAGAAAUAUCUGGCCUUAGGGGUCCUAAGGCCCUGUCAGUCAGCCUGGAACACUCCCCUGCUACCAGUAAAAAAGCCAGGAACCGGGGACUAUCGCCCCAUUCAAGAUCUAAGAAAGAUCAACAACAGAGUGCAGGACAUUCACCCCACAGUACCUAAUCUGUACAAUCUGCUUAGCACCCUUAACCCGGAACAAAACUGAUAUACUGUCCUGGACUUAAAAGAUGCUUUCUUUUGCUUGCCUCUGCAUAAAAAUAGUCAGUUGCUGUUUGCUUUCGAGUGGGUAGACCCAGAAACUGGAACAUCUGAUCAACUAACUUGGACCAGAAUCCCACAGGGGUUCAAAAACUACCCCACUCUCUUUGAUGAAGCCCUCCUCAGAGAUCUCAACAACUUCAGAACUACACACCCCGAGGUCACCCUGCUUCAAUAUGUGGAUAACCUGCUACUGGCAGCCGAUACCAAGAGAAACUGUAAGUCUGGGACCCAAGCACUAUUAUCCGAGCUUGCUCAACUCGGGUAUAGAGCUUCUGCCAAAAGGCCCAAAUUUGCCAGCAAGAAGUAAUCUUCCUGGACUAUUCCCUUAGGGGCAGUAAACGAUGGCUCACUGAGCCCAGAAAACAAACCAUUGUGCAGAUACUACCCACAUCUAACAAGAGGACAAAUGAAGAAGCUAAAUUGGCAGCCCUAAACAGAAUAACCAUGUUAACACUUUCCAUACGGGGAAAUAUGAGUCAGGAGAUUUAACUACAUCAGAGCACCCCGACAACUUAACAUCUAAGGACACUGACACUGAACUCCUUGACUACACUGAACCCAGCUUGCAAUUUCAGAAAGCCCUCCACUACAUUAAAAAUGUACAUCAACUCACUCACCUUGGUUCAAAGAAACUGCAGGCAUUCCUAAAGGAUCAAGAACAGAGUUUUCUACUAACUGGCUCACAGCGAAAAAAAAAUAGCUGAACGAGUAACAAAAGCCUGUCGGGUCUGUCAAUUGGUUAAUGCUUACCCCUCCAAGCUUCCUGUAGGAAGACGCCUUGAAGGAACCAGACCAGGACAAUUUGGGGAAGUGGACUUUACUAAAAUUAAGCCAGCAAGGUAUGGACUUAAAUAUCUCCUAAUCUUUGUAGAUACAUUUUCAGGAUGGAUUAAAGCCUUCCCCACAAAAAAAAGAAAUGGCGCAAAUGGUAGUCAAGAACUGAAAGAUAUUUUUCCAAGAUACGGCCUGCCUAAGGUAAUAGGGUCUGAUAAUGGACCGGCGUUUGUGGCCCAGGUAAGUCAGGGGUUAACCAUGACUCUGGGGAUUAAUUGGAGGUUACAUUGCGCUUAGAGACCCCAGAGCUCAGGACAGGUAAAAAAAUAAAUAGAACCAUUAGAGACCUUGACGAAAUUAAGCUUGGAGACCGGCAUAAAAGAUUGGACUAUGCUUCUGCCCUAUGCACUGUUUUGUACAAAAAAAUACUCCCUCUGUUUCUUUGUGUAACCUCACCCCCUAUAAAAUUCUCUAUGGUUCCCCUCCUCCAGUAAGGGACCUGACCCCAACUCUAAGACCUAACGAUUCCUAUCACACCCCCUUGCUUGACAUACUUAAAGCUCUUAAAAGAUCCCAGCGAUACCUGUGGAAACAACUAGCCACUGCCUACCAACCUGGGGACGAAGGGAUUCCACACCGAUAUCAAGUGGUGUGGGAGACUUCGUCUAUGUAAGACGACAUCAGGUGUCAUCCCUAGAACCCCGCUGGAAAGGACCAUACCAGGUGCUACUUAUAACACCUACAGUGGUAAAGGUAAAUGGAAUCACUUCCUGGAUCCAUGCCUCUCAUCUCAAGCCUGCACCCUGUCCAGACUCUGGCUGGAAAUUGAAAAAGACUGGUAACCCUCUCAAAUUGUGUAUUCACCGUGUGGAUAAGGCUAUGGACUCUCCCCUUGACCACCAGUAGUCCUAAUCCUCAUCAGCCAGUACAACAGUGAUGGCUAAUCACAAAUCAUGUCAGCUGGCUAUAAGCCUUUCCUAUUGGGUAUCCCUGAUAAAAAAAAAAUCCACUAAAAUUCCAUUAAAUCCCUUUCGUACCAUAGAUAAUAGAAACAAACAUUAUGGAUGUAGGGACACGCGAGCCAGAUGCAGGUUGGCUAACCUAGAUUACUAUGUUUGCCCGGUGGACUAUCAAAGCCACAAACAGUCACAGCUGUGUGGGGG